AGAGACAGCACCACAAUAGUGUGUGUUUGGGCCCUUAGAUCCCAUCAGUUAUGCUUUGAGAAUCUGUACAGAGUUAUUUACUGGGCUCUGUUCAGCAGGAAAUGAGACUUUGAGUAGUGAAUGACCUUGGCCACCCUCCCCUCUGGCAAGAUGGAAGUGCCAAAUUAUCUUUGGGCUGUGAUCAAGCAUAAGAAAUUUCCACCCCUGGGAUAAUUCUUUUGAAGAUUACACAAGCAAUGGAAGUUCAUAGGUUUCCCUUGCUUCCUGAAUGGAAUAUAUAUCAACAGGACAGCACCACCAAAAAAGUCUAUGAAAUACAUUUCUUUAUGUGAUGACAGAAGAAAGUAUUACAGGUAUUUCUGAAAUAAAUUUAUCAUUUGAGAAACA
rnacentral:lncRNA from 1 species